GACGAACCGUGCGAACGUUAUUCGGAAUCACUGGGCUUAAAGCGCGUGUAGGCGGGACGGCACGUCGGUCGCUGAAAGCCCCCGGCUCAACCGGGGAACGGGCGCCGAUACGACCGCCCUGGAGGGACGUAGGGGGACCUGGAACUUCCGGUGGAGCGGUGAAAUGCGUUGAGAUCGGGAGGAACACCUGUGGCGAAAGCGGCUCACUGGACCACAACUGACGCUGAGGCGCGAAAGCUAGGGGAGCAAACAGG
rnacentral:rRNA from 1 species